UAUAUUUAAGUGUAUGAUGCACGAAGAUUUUUGAUAUCUUAAGGAAUAGUUUGAAUCUAUUAAAUGUAA
rnacentral:tRNA from 1 species